CAGUCGCCGCGGUAAUACGAAGGGUGCAAGCGUUACUCGGAAUUACUGGGCGUAAAGGGUGCGUAGGCGGUUGUUUAAGUCUGUUGUGAAAUCCCAGGGCUCAACCUGGGAAUUGCAGUGGAUACUGGGUCACUAGAGUGUGGUAGAGGAUAGUGGAAUUUCCGGUGUAGCAGUGAAAUGCGUAGAGAUCGGAAGGAACAUCUGUGGCGAAGGCGACUAUCUGGGCCAACACUGACACUGAGGCACGAAAGCGUGGGGAGCAAACAGGAUUAGAUACCCGAGUAGUCCCUGUCUCUUAUAC
rnacentral:rRNA from 1 species